rnacentral:rRNA from 1 species
GACGAACGCUGGCGGCGUGGAUUAGGCAUGCAAGUCGAACGGUAUCAUCCUUUCGGGGGUGAGAGAGUGGCGAACUGGUGAGUAACACGUAGGUUAUCUACCCUCCAAGACGGGGACAACCCAGGGAAACUUGGGCUAAUACCGGAUGUGAGCAACUUUUAGUUGUUUGAAAGGUGGCGUAAGCUGUCGCUUGGGGAUGAGCCUGCGUCCUAUUAGUUAGUUGGUGAGGUAACGGCUCACCUAGGCAAUGAUAGGUAGGCGGCCUUAACGGGUGGUCGCCCACACUGGGAUUGAGAUACGGCCCAGACUCCUACGGGAGGCAGCAGUCGAGAAUAGUCUACAAUGGUCGGAAGACUGAUAGUGCGACGCCGCGUGAACGAUGAAUCCCUUCGGGGUGUAAAGUUCUUUUAUAUGUGAGCAGUGCUUCUUAUAUUAACAGUAUGGGGAGAGAGAUAUUAGCAUAUGAAUAAGCAACGGCUAACUCCGUGCCAGCAGCCGCGGU